AACUCGUUAAAUAAAAUAUAUGACUCGUAAUUCGUAGUUGCUCGUGGAACAUUUAUAAUCAAACGUUUUCCUCGUUCGCAUAUCGCGCUAUAAUGGUGAUGAAUUUAUGAUCGUAUGUUACGUUUUUCAUCGACAUUUACAAUGCUAGUCUGUGUUAUGCGAAACGCUGAUCAAAUCACACAGUUAGCAAACUCAAUAUUACGUAUAUACCGUCUCAUAUAUCGUCUGUUAUAUUCGGGAUUAGAGCAGACACCGAGACAUGCAAUCCGCUCGUGUUUCCUGCAGCUACAGAUCAAGGAGGAGGAAAAAAAGCAUCCACAGUAUUGUUACUACGUAGGGUCGAUGGAACUGCUAGGUGGCAUCUAAUGAGAAGGAGCGAACAAUGAGCCUUUCUAACUUAAGUGCCCUAGGGUGAAUGCCAGAAGGGUACUCUUACCACCCUUCUUAUUUCAUUCAUUUAUUCUCACGCUUGCUUCACGAAUCAGACGAGUUAUCUGACUAGAUAGAUCUCCACUAUGAAUGAUUUUAUGAUUUUUGCGAUAUUUGGAAUAAUGUAGAUCAUAUAAUCGAAUUUCAAUAUAAAGAAGUUCGAUUAAAUCUUUUUCCUUUCAUAAUAAGAUUAAAAUUAUUUAAGUCAUUAUUAAUCAUUAUUUAUUUAAUAAAAAUAAUUUAAUUAAAAUAAUUUUCACGUUAAUACUUUUUAUUAAUUUAAUUAAUUAAUAAUUAAUGAUUUAUGAAAUAAUAAUUAAUUAAUAACUAAUAAAAAAUAAUUAAAUUUAAUUUUUAUUAAUUAUUAAUUAAAUUAAUUAAAUUAAUUUUUAUUAGUUAUUAAUUAAUUAUUACUUCAUAAAUCACUAAUGUAACAAAUAAGAACUUUCCUUAAACAUUUAAACGUAUAAAUUAUUUAUUUUAUUAAAUUUUUAAAUUAUUUAUUAAUAAAAUAUAUAUAAAUUUCAAUUUAAAAUGAUAAUGAGAGUUACUAAUGAUUUUUAUAUUCAUGUUAAAAACAAAAUAAAAAAAUAACUAAGCAAAUAAAUAAACUAAUUUUAAUCUUCAGAAA